rnacentral:rRNA from 1 species
AGAUUGAACGCUGGCGGCAGGCCUAACACAUGCAAGUCGAGCGGUAGAGAGGUGCUUGCACCUCUUGAGAGCGGCGGACGGGUGAGUAAUGCCUAGGAAUCUGCCUAGUGGUGGGGGAUAACGUUCGGAAACGGACGCUAAUACCGCAUACGGUCCUACGGGAGAAAGCGGGGGACCUUCGGGCCUCGCGCCAUUAGAUGAGCCUAGGUCGGAUUAGCUAGUUGGUGAGGUAAUGGCUCACCAAGGCGACGAUCCGUAACUGGUCUGAGAGGAUGAUCAGUCACACUGGAACUGAGACACGGUCCAGACUCCUACGGGAGCAGCAGUGGGAAUAUUGGACAAUGGGCGAAAGCCUGAUCCAGCCAUGCCGCGUGUGUGAAGAAGGUCUUCGGAUUGUAAAGCAACUUUUAAGUGGAAGGAAGGUUGUAACUUAAGUACGUUGCAACUUUGACGUUACCGACAGAAUAAGCACCGCUAACUUCGCGCCAGCAGCCG